AUUGAACGCUGGCGGCAGGCCUAACACAUGCAAGUCGAGCGGACAAAGGGAGCUUGUUCCUGGCUUCAGCGGCCGACGGGCGAGUAAUGCCUAGGAAUCUGCCUUGUAGUGGGGGAUAACGUCCGGAAACGGGCGCUAAUCCCGUACCCGUUCAGAGGGAGAACGUGGGGGAUCAUCGGACCUCACGCUAUCUGCUGAGCCUAGGUCGGAUUAGCUAGUUGGUGGGGUAAAGGCCUACCAAGGCGACGAUCCGUAACUGGUCUGAGAGGAUGAUCAGCCACACUGGAACUGAGACACGGUCCAGACUCCUACGGGAGGCAGCAGUGGGGAAUAUUGGACAAUGGGCGAAAGCCUGAUCCAGCCAUGCCGCGUGUGUGAUGAAGGUCUUCGGAUUGUAAAGCACUUUUAGUUGGGAGGAAGAGCAGUAUGUUAAUACCUGGCUGUCUUGACGGUACCAAAAGAAUAAGCACCGGCUAACUACGUG
rnacentral:rRNA from 1 species